rnacentral:rRNA from 1 species
UACGUAGGGGGCAAGCGUUUGUCCGGAUUUAUUGGGCGUAAAGAGCGUGUAGGCGGCUUGGUAGGUCCGCUGUGAAAACUCGAGGCUCAACCUCGAGAUGUCGGCGGAAACCACUUGGCUAGAGUCCGGAAGAGGAGAGUGGAAUUCCUGGUGUAGCGGUGAAAUGCGCAGAUAUCAGGAAGAACACCUAUGGCGAAGGCAGGUCUCUGGGCCACUACUGACGCUGAGAAGCGAAAGCAUGGGGGAGCGAACAGG